rnacentral:rRNA from 1 species
CUUAACACAUGCAAGUCGAACGGGAUGCUUAGGCAUCUAGUGGCGGACGGGUGAGUAACGCGUGAGAAUCUGGCUCCAGGUCGGGGAUAACAGUUGGAAACGACUGCUAAUACCGGAUGUGCCGAGAGGUGAAAGAUUUAUUGCCUGGAGAUGAGCUCGCGUCUGAUUAGCUAGUUGGUGGUGUAAGGGACCACCAAGGCGUCGAUCAGUAGCUGGUCUGAGAGGAUGAUCAGCCACACUGGGACUGAGACACGGCCCAGACUCCUACGGGAGGCAGCAGUGGGGAAUUUUCCGCAAUGGGCGAAAGCCUGACGGAGCAAUACCGCGUGAGGGAGGAAGGCUCUUGGGUCGUAAACCUCUUUUCUCAAGGAAGAAGAAAGUGACGGUACUUGAGGAAUAAGCAUCGGCUAACUCCGUGCCAGCAGCCGCGGUAAUACGGAGGAUGCAAGCGUUAUCCGGAAUGAUUGGGCGUAAAGGGUCUGCAGGUGGAACUGAAAGUCUGCUGUUAAAGAGUUUGGCUUAACCAAAUAAAAGCGGUGGAAACUACAGAACUAGAGUGCGGUAGGGGCAAAAGGAAUUCCUGGUGUAGCGGUGAAAUGCGUAGAUAUCAGGAAGAACACCGGUGGCGAAAGCGUUUUGCUAGACCGUAACUGACACUGAGGGACGAAAGCUAGGGAAGCGAAUGGGAUUAGAUACCCCAGUAGUCCUAGCCGUAAACGAUGGAUACUAGGCGUGGCUUGUAUCGACCCGAGCCGUGCCGGAGCUAACGCGUUAAGUAUCCCGCCUGGGGAGUACGCACGCAAGUGUGAAACUCAAAGGAAUUGACGGGGGCCCGCACAAGCGGUGGAGUAUGUGGUUUAAUUCGAUGCAACGCGAAGAACCUUACCAAGACUUGACAUCCUGCGAAUCCUGGUGAAAGCUGGGAGUGCCUUAGGGAGCGCAGAGACAGGUGGUGCAUGGCUGUCGUCAGCUCGUGUCGUGAGAUGUUGGGUUAAGUCCCGCAACGAGCGCAACCCUCGUUUUUAGUUGCCAGCAUUAAGUUGGGCACUCUAGAGAGACUGCCGGUGACAAACCGGAGGAAGGUGAGGAUGACGUCAAGUCAGCAUGCCCCUUACGUCUUGGGCUACACACGUACUACAAUGCUACGGACAGAGGGCAGCGAGCCAGGGAUGGCAAGCGAAUCCAGAAACCGUAGCUCAGUUCAGAUCGAAGGCUGCAACUCGCCUUCGUGAAGGAGGAAUCGCUAGUAAUUGCAGGUCAGCAUACUGCAGUGAAUUCGUUCCCGGGCCUUGUACACACCGCCCGUCACACCAUGGAAGUUGGUCACGCCCGAAGUCAUUACCCCAACCGAAAGGAGGGGGAUGCCUUAAAGUAGACUGGUGACUUGGGUGAAAGUCUUAACAAGGUA